GUCCGCUCUAUAUCUAGAGAACCGUUAUCAUUUCAAAGUUUAACUUGACAUGUUUAUAAACCAACACCAAAGGGUGUGUCAUAAUUUAUUUACAACUUCCUAGGUCAAAGGUCAAGGUCAAAAACUUUGAUUUCAGUUGACAACCCAUGUCCUAUGGUAAAGAUACAAUUUUUUAAUGCACAUUAUUCACAGCGGGCCCACAGAGAUGGCUCCCAUCUCAAUGAUAUCUAGUUUAUUUUAUUUUACUAUAUUAUAUGAUUUUUUGUAUAUCUAAAUGCAGACUAAUAUACUGAAAUACUGCCAGUAUUUCAGUAUUUCUUAUUUUGGCCCUACUACUUUAUUUAGGAGGUUUUUGUUACCUGUCACUAUCAUGACUAUAUAAUGUAAUACUGAGUAUUUCUAAAAUUUUGUUCAAACUUUAGUGGUGUGCUCCUAUUUGUGUAUAUAGAUAAAGUGAAUCAAAUAUUUACUCCAACCGGUUGUGGUUUGAAUAUACCCAAGUGCUAGUCAUUUUUAUAAGUCUAUCAAAUAUGUUGUUAUAUAUUUGGUAUCUGUACAGAUGUAUUUUGUAGCAUUUUAUUAUUCAUGUUCAGAAUUGAAAUUUUCAUUAACAAAAUUUCAAUAUUUUAUAAAUCUUUGAUGCCAU
rnacentral:lncRNA from 1 species